CCACAUGCAGACAGACAUCAUGCACAUGCAAGCACAAAUGCAAUAGAAACAUCACUUCAGACAGCUGGUUAAAUAUGCAUCUGCACUACUAACACUGACCUUGUCCUAAAAUCCACUUUCACCAGUUUAAGUGAAUACAGCUUCUUAUCCUAGUCUUCAUUUUUAGAAAGCAAGCAUCAGUGUUAGGAGAGAAUGGAGAAGAAAGUAGUAAAGAUCAACAAAAAGACUUCCCAGCAAGCUUAUCUGCCUUCACUUUCCAGACACCAUCAUUAAAGAGGAAAAAUCUGAUGGACUGUUGGGUUUGUCCCGUGUCAUUAGAGAGGCAGCACUUUCACCUUCCAAUCCACUGUCACCUUCGGAAAUCUACAAAUGUUGGAGUCAGAAAAUAACCUUUCCCUUUUUACCUUGAGAA